rnacentral:lncRNA from 1 species
GUGAGCAACCGCAGGUGGAGGAACAUCCAGGAUUACCGGUAUUUAUCACAGUGCCCACUAUGCAGAGAACCUAGGAGACACUUUUUAAGUCCCUUGUUUGUCCAGGAAAGCUGUCUCCCCCAGGUGGAGAAGGUUCUAUGGCUACUCAGUGAUGGCCCAGUGACUUAUAAUGUGGCCCCCUUUGUGCUGGCAGCAAGAAAGAUCCGGAAGAAUCUGGACAACAUUGCAGUGAACUGUAAGGGAGAUUCAGAGGUCUAAUUAGGAAAAUACUGCAUGCUGUAUGCGGUCCCCAGUUGACACAUGCACCUGCAUUUUAUGAUUUUGAUGGCUCUGGCAGUGGCUCUGCUUUUUAUAUAUACAGUGGUACCUCGGGUUACAGAUGCUUCAGGUUACAGACUCCCCAAACCAGAAAUAGUACCUCAGGUUAAGAACUUUACCUCAGGGUGACAACAGAAAUCACGUGGUGGCAGCGGGAGGCCCCAUUAGCUAAAGUGGUACCUCAGGUUAAGAACAGUUUCAGGUUAAGAACGGACCUCCAGAACGAAUUAAGUUCUUAACCCGAGGUACCCCUGUAGUUAUAUACUUAUAUAGAUAUUUCUUUUCUUGAAAGUGCUUGUAUGGUUUUGUCAUGGCCUUUGGCUAGUACAAUAAAGCUUAUUUUGCUUUGCUUAAAAAAAGAAGAAGUAAUCUUACCUAAAGAUGUUUACAAAUCAAUAAAAUGCAGAUCCACAUGAUACAUUUAAAGCACAUCCAAAACACAUUUAAAGCACAUGAUUUUCCCCAAAGAAUCCUGGGAAAUAUUGUUUCCCUCUUAGAGCUACAAUUACCAGAGCCCUUAACAAGCUGUGGCUCCCAGGUUAUUCAUUUAUAUUUAUAGCUCAAUCUUCAAUACUGAAAAGCCGGGGGGGGGGAAAUAUACAUUUUAAAAACACCUAUUAAAACUCUCACGUUAAACUACACUUAUUUAGGUACAGUGGUACCUCGGGUUAAGAACUUAAUUCGUUCUGGAGGUCUGUUCUUAACCUGAAACUGUUCUUAACCUGUGGUACCACUUUAGCUAAUGGGGCCUCCUGCUGCCGCCGCACGAUUUCUGUUCUCAUCCUGAGGUAAAGUUACUAUUUCUGUACUAUUUCUGGGUUAGCAGAGUCUGUAACCUGAAGCGUCUGUAACCUGAAGUGACUGUAACACGAGGUACCACUGUAAUUUACACCACUCCUACCCAUAGGGGAAAUGAAUAAAUAGCUGGACAAGAAAAAGAAUGAUGAAAGUCAGGUUAAAACCAAGACCCAGCUGUUGUCAAAAUGGCGUCUAAAUGCCUGAGCAAAUGAAGUGAGCGAAAUGGUAGGAUGGAGCAGAGCCGAUUAUCUAUUGCACCCCAUGAUUUAUAAACUGAGAUCUGCAUAUAGAAAGAAGGGCAUACCUACUCUUGAGUUCCUAUUGAUUCUAAACAGCCUAAUUUAGAGAAAUGAGAAAAGGGAGAAAAGCCUUUAUGUUAUUGCUAUUGUUAAGUGACGGAGAGUCGGAAACCCCUGCAAACCAUCCAGAGAUCUGUCUACCAGUAAACUCUGAUCAACGUUCUGCCUUUCCAUCCUCUAUCCUUCAUGUACAGCCUGUUCUUGUAGGGCAGUGGUAUUCUUGCAUUGUCUGAGCGGGAAGUGUGACUUAGAUUACAGCAUACCCACAACCUCCCACAGUGUUAUACAGUCAUACCUCAUGUUACAUUUGCUUCAUGUUACGUUUUUUCAGGUUGCGUUCCGCGGCGACCCAGAAGUACCGGAAAAGGUUACUUCCGGGUUUCGCCACUCACGCAUGCACACAAGCGCCAAAUCGGGCCGUGCACCUGCGCAGAUACGCCGCUUCAGGUUGCGGGCUUUUCAUGUUGUGAACGGGCCUACGGAACAGAUCCCGUUCGCAACCAGAGGUACCACUGUAUUCAUUAUGGUGUUAGACCAGUAGAGAGGGCAGGCUGUCUUUUACACAUAAGCCUUUCUGCCAUUACUGUUCCUGUCAUUGAGGAAUUCCUGAUAUGCAUCCAAGGAGACCCAACUGUGAAAAACAACACUUGCUUGCUUUGCAGCUAGGAAUGGGCCAAACUAUCCAUUUUGGUUUCUCAUGUUUCCACUCUUAAUUUUAGCCCUCUACAUUUCCAAACCAGCCUGCGAUUUUGGUUGGUUUUUUUUAAUCCUCAUAAAAAUUCACCAGCUUUUUAGAGCAAUUUUUCUGCUAAUAAACAUUAUUUUCUAAGCAAUUUUGUCUACAGUACCUAUUUUCACCAGGCAAUUUCCCUUAAUGCAGUACAUUUUUGUACAUUGUCUUUCCUAAUGUAUUCAUUUUAGUGCACACUAUUCCCUACUUUAUGCAAUUUUGUAUACACUGCUUGGUCAGAGAACUGCAUUGCAAAUUCGGAGAUAUGCAAAUUUCGAAGUGUGGCUGUGUUUCCAUUUGAGUAUUGUUUUGGAAAUUGCCAAUUAGAUAGUUUCACUAUUUAAGAAUACAGAAGUGGUACAGGCAAGAAACAGUUGUGGUGCGGAAUGCUCCUAUUCUUUCAAGAUAAUCAUUCCACAUACCACUUGAAUUUUACAUCGACACCACAACCAGCAGCCAUUCGACAUUCUGUGACCACUGAACAAAUUCAGUCCUCAUUUGCCUGAAUUUUCUUUUUUGGGGUAGGGUUCUCCACAGUAGGUUAUUUUCCAGGUUUUGCUUUCUCUCUGCUUUUGCAAACCUUUGGGUUCCCCUAAUGAGCCUGCUAAUACUUUCCUAUUUUGUGUGGAGUGUGCCCUUUUUGCUAUAUAGGGAGUGGCACUCAGAUAACUGAAAUUACUAUUAACAUUUAUGAUAAAGAAAUGAAACUAAUAUGCCUCCCCAAAUUCUCCAUUGCAAAUCACUGACACUGAAUAUUCACCGAAUCUUUUCAUUUGAAGAGCAGUAUUUGAUAGCUGACAUGAAGCCAUCCAUAUUUGACAGCCAACAUGCAGUUGUAUUUAGCAUUUCAAUGGAAUUGUGACAGCUGGCAGGCAGUGAUGUUUAGAUUUUGACAGAACUUGGCAGAAAACACACAGCACUGUUGAAUAUUUGACGGUUGACACGCAACUGUAUUUAGCAAAUAGCUGGCUUUUGAACUAUUUCCCCACAUUCGUUUAACCGGCUGGGGAACCGUCCUGCUAAAAAGUCAACAGAAACAAUCAGACUUCGAGUUUGGGAAGCAAGUAAUUCAUUUUAAUGACUUUUUAUUCCCCCUUCAAAAAAUAAUAAAAUAAAAACCUGCUGGUAUCUAAUUGCCAUUGGUGUCUCACCCAUAUCUGAUUUUGGUGCUUGAACUCCCCACACAGUCUUUGCCCUGGUUCCCAGGAAAACUGUGAUUGCAAAAAUGAACUGUAGAAAUUGGUGCUCAAGGAUAAGCCUUUGGUGAGAAUCACUCAUCUGAGGUUUUCAGCUAGAUUAAUCAUACUUCCUUUCUGUUCAUAGACACUUGUUCGUGUGCCAAGACAGCAGACAUUUGUUGAUCCUGGUGGCUCAUCCUAACACCAGGAAAAGGGGGGGAGGGGGAGAAAAUUGAUUUACAGUGGUACCUCGGAUUACAUACGCUUCAGGUUACAUACGCUUCAGGUUACAGGCUCCACUAACCCAGAAAUAGUGCUUCAGGUUAAGAACUUUGCUUCAGGAUGAGAACAGAAAUCGUGCUCCAGCGGCACGGCAGCAGCAGGAGGCCCCAUUAGAGAGAAUGGGACCCUAAGCUAUAGCUUGUUCAGCUUAUAUUGGUUACUCAAAAUAUUUCAGAGAACAGCUGAAUAGUGUGCUGCUGACACAGCCAGCGUUCUAAAGUCUAGUAGCAAAAUGUGGCGCUGAAGAUAAUCAGUCUGAAAAUAUGUCGAAAACAAUAAUAAACACUCAUCUCCUGUUUACAGUGGUAUAUUCUUCAGCAAAGGAAGCGGAACCUACAAUCUGGAACAAAAAAGAACCAGCCAAGUGUCUAAGCAGCAGUUCUCUGAGCAGCCCUCUGCCUGACAAAAUGAUUCAGCCACAUGGUUCGGCAAAUAUUUAUGAAUAACGAAUUUGUCCAUGGAAAUCUGGAGGAGUGUCUGACAAACCACCAGCUGGAAGGGGAAUGUGGCUGACAUAAAAUAUAACUUGUAACAAACAGCUGUUUCAAAUUGGCCCUCGCAAAUCAGCCAAAAGCCAGCAAAACAGUGACCUGCCUGCCUGCUUGUUGGUUUAUUUAUUUUUUGCUGCACAGAAAAUCCACAGCGAAGACAGCUACUCAGUAUCAAGUCAUACAAGCUGGUCUUUCGAAAGCGGUUUUGUGUCUGCUCCGAUAUGUGUCUAGGCUGUGAUUCAUCACACCCUGGAAAACCCUUUGGAAGAAGGGAGAUUUUUUUAGAGUAAAAACAGAAGAAAAAUACAUGUGGAUCAGCUCUGUGUCUGCCCUAGCUAGGCAUUAGGCAGUACCAACAAAAGAGGGCACCUAUUUGCCUCCAAUCUGCAUAGUCUAAUUGAUAUGUCUAGAUGCACAUGUAGAAUAAUUACUAUAAUCUAAAUAAAAAUGCAUUAAGCUCACC